rnacentral:rRNA from 1 species
GACGAACGCUGGCGGCGUGCCUAAUACAUGCAAGUUGAGCGCUGAAGGUUGGUACUUGUACCAACUGGAUGAGCAGCGAACGGGUGAGUAACGCGUGGGGAAUCUGCCUUUGAGCGGGGGACAACAUUUGGAAACGAAUGCUAAUACCGCAUAAAAACUUUAAACACAAGUUUUAAGUUUGAAAGAUGCAAUUGCAUCACUCAAAGAUGAUCCCGCGUUGUAUUAGCUAGUUGGUGAGGUAAAGGCUCACCAAGGCGAUGAUACAUAGCCGACCUGAGAGGGUGAUCGGCCCAAUUGGGACUGAGACACGGCCCAAACUCCUACGGGAGGCAGCAGUAGGGGAUCUUCGGCAAUGGACGAAAGUCUGACCGAGCAACGCCGCGUGAGUGAAGAAGGUUUUCGGAUCGUAAAACUCUGUUGGUAGAGAAGAACGUUGGUGAGAGUGGAAAGCUCAUCAAGUGACGGUAACUACCCAGAAAGGGACGGCUAACUACGUG